GAAAAAAAUUUAUUUAUCAGGAGGAAGUAUAUCACAAUUAUGCAAAGUAAAGGGAAAGGGAUGUGCUUCGUGGACAGAAAGCUUCCCUUCCUGUCAUAGGUAGUAGAGUGGGUGAUGCGUCGCUUGAAAAGUCUCCGUGCCGGACUGAGUGACAGCUACAUGGUGGUAUGCACUCAUGAAAUGGCUAUUGAAUAAAGGAGAGGAAAAACAAAGUCAUUUCCAUAUUGAAUAGCUCUAUUUCUGAAGGCUGGAAAUCCAAGAUGAAGGUGAUGUUAGAGAAUGAUAUGAGAAACCAAGGUAUCCUCCUACAAGAAUUGCAUUGUGUCCAGUCUCAGCUGAUGGAGAAAAGAUACGUGUGUGUUUAUGCUAACCAGCUUAUAAACAUAUAUGUAUAAAUGUUUCUAUAUUUACCUGUCUGCAUAUAUAUUAAACUAAACAUGAGUUCAUACUGAUAUAUCCAACUUCGAUUCAUUAACUUAUGGGUCAUUCCAACCUUUUGCUAUUAGCUGUCUGGAAAUUUCCACACCACUAGUGAGGAGCCUGGAUUCCACAUCUGCCAUCCAGUUACUUAAUUGUUCUAUUUCAGUGAACGUGUAUAGCAAAAUCAGAAUUGUUAACCCUUUCCUCCAUGAGAAACUACUUUAUUAACUAGAAUUAGAGGGCUUCUGUGUAGUUCUCUUCACUUCAGAUUUACAUUUCCACUCAAUCAUAAAGUUACUUAGGUCAGCACCUUUUCCUUCCACUCCCUUCAGUGAUUUUAUUUCAUACAAUUAGAAGAGCAAAUUCUUUUGUUACCAUCUGCUUUCUAUCUUGGAAUCCCUUGACAUCUUAAACGAGAUAAAUUUGGAUGCUUCAUAUGUGACAGACAAACACUCGCAAGUAAUUAAAGAAAGGACUGACUUUUCAACAAAAGAUGUUGGCUAUUGGAUGACAAUUCUCUACAGGUCACUCACGUUUUUCUGCAUGUCUUUUGAGCAAAAACACUGACUGCCUUUAGUUUAAACUAUUUUUUCAAGGAUUUUUGUAUAGCAAACAGACUUGAAAGUUAGAGAUAUUGUCUCCAUCCAAAUUCUACACCCCCAGUAAAAGGCAGAAUUCUUUAAUGUCCUAUAUAUUAAACAUAAUGUUUUCUGAGGCUACAUCUAAGCAUACUUGCCCAUUGUUGCAAAUGUAGGUUCUUUAAGCUCAGCGUUCCUCUCCUUUAAUGCACCUCACUGCUUGUGUGGGUGUCACCUGGCCCUCUUCAAGUAUUCUUUUGGAAAAGGAGACUUGGGAAACUUACUCACAUGCUAAUUUUCUGGCUACUGCUACUGUUGUGAUUAGCAAACUAUUUUGUCUCUGACACAGAAGUCACGUAUUUUUCCAGAGUCAUGAAACUAUUGCACGCUAACUUGUUAGCUCACAAGUAAGGAAGAAUUUCUAAUUGUUCUUCAUUCUUAGCCCUGUCCUUAUUGCAUAGCCAUAGGGAAAUAAACAUGUAAGGAAAAAAAUCAAGGAUAUGGCUAGAACAAAGCUCAAAAGGAUUGUUAACUGUGGGAGAGGGAAGGAAGGAGGAUUUGAUGAGAGUUAGGUAUUCAGUGGAGUUUCUGGUGUGUGGACAAUAUUCUGCUUCUUCACUUGGGUAGUAGUUAAGUGAAUGUUGAAUUUAUAAUUGUUUAAAC